rfam:Aedes aegypti strain Liverpool supercont1.68 genomic scaffold, whole genome shotgun sequence.
GAGGUAAUCUCAAAUUGUAACAGUGGGUUGAUUUUCCUGGUGAAUCCCGGCCUUGUCCUCCGUCACAAGUGUGACAAGUGUCUCGAAAACGUGUUCGCUAUACCCACGUUACAGAUUGGGGUUUCCCC